AACGGGGGGGGCAAGUGUUCGGAAUCACUGGGCGUAAAGGGCGCGUAGGCGGCCGAUCAAGUCGGGGGUGAAAGCCUGUGGCUCAACCACAGAAUUGCCUUCGAUACUGGUUGGCUUGAGACCGGAAGAGGUAAGUGGAACUGCGAGUGUAGAGGUGAAAUUCGUAGAUAUUCGCAAGAACACCAGUGGCGAAGGCGGCUUACUGGUCCGGUUCUGACGCUGAGGCGCGAAAGCGUGGGGAGCAAACAGG
rnacentral:rRNA from 1 species